rnacentral:rRNA from 1 species
GAUGAACGCUAGCUACAGGCUUAACACAUGCAAGUCGAGGGGAAACGAUAUUGGAAGCUUGCUUCCGAUAGGCGUCGACCGGCGCACGGGUGAGUAACGCGUAUCCAACCUGCCCACCACUUGGGGAUAACCUUGCGAAAGUAAGACUAAUACCCAAUGACGUCUCUAGAAGACAUCUGAAAGAGAUUAAAGAUUUAUCGGUGAUGGAUGGGGAUGCGUCUGAUUAGCUUGUUGGCGGGGUAACGGCCCACCAAGGCAACGAUCAGUAGGGGUUCUGAGAGGAAGGUCCCCCACAUUGGAACUGAGAUACGGUCCAAACUCCUACGGGAGGCAGCAGUGAGGAAUAUUGGUCAAUGGGCGCAGGCCUGAACCAGCCAAGUCGCGUGAGGGAAGACGGUCCUACGGAUUGUAAACCUCUAUCAGCAGGGAAGAAAACAAUGACGGUACCUGACUAAGAAGCCCCGGNUAACUACGUG